rnacentral:misc_RNA from 1 species
GAUGAAGAACGUAGCGAAAUGCGAUAAGUAAUGUGAAUUGCAGAAUUCAGUGAAUCAUCGAAUCUUUGAACGCAUCUUGCGCUCCUUGGUAUUCUGAGGAGCAUGCCUGUUUGAGUGCCAUUAAAUUCUCAACUACACUGACUUUGAAUUGGUGUGGCUUGGAUUUGGGGGGAAAAUUGUUGUGGGCUUUUUGUAUAGUCUGCUCCCCUGAAAUUGAUUAGCGGUACCUUUGUGGAACUGUCUACAGGUGUGAUAAUUAUCUACAUCUUAGACAUCUGCUGGAAUGCUGCUUUCUAAACCUUACUUGUAUUGACAAUCUUGACCUCAAAUCAGGUAGGACUACCCGCUGAACUUAAGCAUAUCAAUAAGCGGAGGA